UCUUUUGUUAACCUGGACUAAACAAUUGUCUUGAAAAUUAUCUAUCAUAUAAUACUGUUGUCCACUGCUACACCCUGAUAUUUUCUACUAAAAUGUUGCUGAUAUGUGUUUGUUUGAGUCGGCGGGAAAGGUCUGCAAAAAGAAUUUGAAAACUCAGUUUUUCAGUUUUUUGGAAAAAAUAUUUGCUUGAGAAGUUUUUGUAUAAAAGUAACUUUCUUUUUAAGGAUUUCGAAACUUAAUUUUUCAAAUAUUUCAAAACUCUGAAUGAUAUUGAUAAAGGUGAAAAAUGCAUAUUUUCGAGUGUACUUUCAUCUCAUAACAUGUGUAGUUGCGGAAGGUUACAUGAGUUUUUGUUGUGAAUUAUGCUCAUUACGUGCAUUCUUAUGUGUAGGAGCGAAUUGGAAGAAAGGUGAGCAAAAGAAGUUGAUUCGGGACCAAGAGACAAAAGAAGAACUUCGCAUAUUCACUCUCUUAAGGCAAAAAGGCGAAGAAGUGCACGAGAGAGCUGGAAGGAAAAGAAAAAGAGAAAAACUUCGCCCGUUCAUUCUCGCAUGCACACAAGUGAAUGAACGAGCUAACCUGUAAGGCUGUAACAGCUUGUCCGACUUUGGCUUGGAAAAUGGCAUCUCAUACCAACCCUAAACUAUAUAAACACCUUCUUAAACAGUUUUUAAAGAGACAUUAUUUGGGAGGCGAAAGAUGGCUGGACCAAUUGCAAGUGCCGGAUCACACAAGUUCUUCUUCCGUUCUUCCUUAGUUUGUAUUAAUGCUUUCAAUUAUUAACAUGAUUGUUAGCGUGACUAUGCGUAGCUAAAUUUCUUUCUAGGGUUUUGGUGGAACCUUUUGUAGGAUGAAUUCUUGAUAUAUUUUGUUAUAAUUGAGCCUUUAGAUUUCUCUAUUUGUUCAACUACGCGCUUAUUUUAGUUAAUAAAAAAGCUCUCAAUUAAC
rnacentral:lncRNA from 1 species